rnacentral:rRNA from 1 species
GCCUACGGGGGGCAGCAGUGAGGAAUAUUGGUCAAUGGGCGCGAGCCUGAACCAGCCAAGUCGCGUGAGGGAAGACGGUCCUAUGGAUUGUAAACCUCUUUUGUCGGGGAGCAAAAAGGCCUCGUGAGGUCACAAGUGAGAGUACCCGAAGAAAAAGCAUCGGCUAACUCCGUGCCAGCAGCCGCGGUAAUACGGAGGAUGCGAGCGUUAUCCGGAUUUAUUGGGUUUAAAGGGUGCGUAGGCGGAUUUUUAAGUCAGCGGUAAAAUGUCCGGGCUCAACCCGGGCCGGCCGUUGAAACUGGGGA